AGGGGAUUAGUUCAGUGGUAGAACGGUUGUAUUACACGCAAAGGGUGAGAGGUUCGAUUCCUUUAUCCCUCA
rnacentral:tRNA from 1 species